rnacentral:tRNA from 1 species
GGGGAUUUAGCUCAGUGGUAGAGCCCUUGCCUAGCAAGCACAAGGCCCUAGGUUCAGUCCCCA